rnacentral:snRNA from 1 species
AGCUUUGCGCAGAGGCAGUACCAUAGCCAGUGAGGUUCAUCCGAGGUGUGGUUAUUGCUAGUUGAAAACUAAACCCAAUAUCCCGCGAUGACUCCGUGCAAUACCAGGGUCAAUCGCAAUUUCUGUUCAAUUGCUCAAAAA